rnacentral:snRNA from 1 species
CUGCGUGGGAAUUCAUCUAGUU